rnacentral:rRNA from 1 species
GACGAACGCUGGCGGCGCGCCUAACACAUGCAAGUCGAGCGAUGAAAGUUGUUCAGAUCCUUCGGGUGACGAACUUCUGGAUUAGCGGCGAACGGGUGAGUAACGCGUGAGGAACCUGCCUCUCACAACGGGAUAGCCUCGGGAAACCGGGAUUAAUACCGUAUGACACUAUCAGAUGGCAUCAUCAGGUAGUUAAAGUGCUAGCGGUGAGAGAUGGCCUCGCGUCUGAUUAGUUAGUUGGUGGGGUAACGGCCUACCAAGACGACGAUCAGUAACCGGCCUGAGAGGGUGAACGGUCACAUUGGAACUGAGACACGGUCCAGACUCCUACGGGAGGCAGCAGUGAGGAAUAUUGGUCAAUGGGCGUAAGCCUGAACCAGCCAAGUAGCGUGCAGGAUGACGGCCCUAUGGGUUGUAAACUGCUUUUAUGCGGGGAUAAAGUUGGGGACGUGUCCCUUUUUGCAGGUACCGCAUGAAUAAGGACCGGCUAAUUCCGUGCCAGCAGCCGCGGUAAUACGGAAGGUCCGGGCGUUAUCCGGAUUUAUUGGGUUUAAAGGGAGCGUAGGCAGUUUUUUAAGCGUGCUGUGAAAUGUACCGGCUCAACCGGUGAUGUGCAGCGCGAACUGGGAAUCUUGAGUACGCAGUAAGCAGGCGGAAUUCGUGGUGUAGCGGUGAAAUGCUUAGAUAUCACGAAGAACUCCGAUUGCGUAGGCAGCUUGCUGUAGCGUAACUGACGCUGAAGCUCGAAAGUGCGGGUAUCGAACAGG